AACGAACGCUGGCGGCAGGCUUAACACAUGCAAGUCGAACGCCCCGCAAGGGGAGUGGCAGACGGGUGAGUAACGCGUGGGAACGUGCCCUUCGCUUCGGAAUAGCCCCGGGAAACUGGGAGUAAUACCGGAUACGCCGUAUUGGGAAAGAUUUAUCGGCGAAGGAUCGGCCCGCGUUAGAUUAGGUAGUGGGCGGUGUAAUGGACCACCAAGCCUACGAUCUAUAGCUGGUCUGAGAGGAUGAUCAGCCACACUGGGACUGAGACACGGCCCAGACUCCUACGGGAGGCAGCAGUGGGGAAUCUUGGACAAUGGGCGCAAGCCUGAUCCAGCCAUGCCGCGUGAGUGAAGAAGGCCUUAGGGUUGUAAAACUCUUUCGCCGGAGAAGAUAAUGACGGUAUCCGGAGAAGAAGCCCCGGCUAACUUCGUGCCAGCCGCCGCGUAAAAC
rnacentral:rRNA from 1 species